rnacentral:rRNA from 1 species
ACGUACACUCCUACGGGAGGCAGCAGUGGGGAAUAUUGCACAAUGGGCGCAAGCCUGAUGCAGCCAUGCCGCGUGUGUGAAGAAGGCCUUCGGGUUGUAAAGCACUUUCAGCGGGGAGGAAGGCGAUACGGUUAAUAACCGUGUUGAUUGACGUUACCCGCAGAAGAAGCACCGGCUAACUCCGUGCCAGCAGCCGCGGUAAUACGGAGGGUGCAAGCGUUAAUCGGAAUUACUGGGCGUAAAGCGCACGCAGGCGGUCUGUCAAGUCGGAUGUGAAAUCCCCGGGCUCAACCUGGGAACUGCAUUCGAAACUGGCAGGCUUGAGUCUUGUAGAGGGGGGUAGAAUUCCAGGUGUAGCGGUGAAAUGCGUGGAGAUCUGGAGAAAUACCGGUGGCGAAGGCGGCCCCCUGGACAAAGACUGACGCUCAGGUGCGAAAGCGUGGGGAGCAAACAGGAUUAGAUACCCCAGUAGUCCCAUG